rnacentral:tRNA from 1 species
GGAUCGUGGCUCAGUGGUAGAGCACUUGCCUAGCAUGUGUGAGGCACUGGGUUCAAUUCUCAGCACCA